GCAGCAGUAACUAUGACAUGUAAAAAAACAAAAGCAAUAGAGUUCAGAGAAUUACUGUUCUUCGGCGUCCAUCUGCAGAGCUAGGUGGUAUUCAUCUGAUCUCACCCCGAGUCUACGAAAAGUCGGCAUGCUUCCUGGAAAGACAGAAACCUCCAAACUGGCCAGCUAGGAAAUAAACAGAACCUGACUCUGUUGUAACAUGGGAACCUGGGCCUUAAGCGUUGACAUUUCCACAGUUGAAAAAUGGACCGGGAACCCUUAUUCGG
rnacentral:lncRNA from 1 species